rnacentral:lncRNA from 1 species
AAAAACAAAAAGCAUGAAACAGAACAAUGGAGGCAAUACCUUAAAAAAGCAGAACAAUGGAGGCAAUACCUUAAAAAAGCAGAACAAAAUCAGAAAUGCUUACAUCAUGGCCAUGGAUAUCUGUUUGAAAUCAUGUUUCUUUUUUUUGUGGGAAAUGGAGAAGAAUUGCCCAAAAAUUUUCUAAAAUUUAAGCGAGAAUCCAGGAAACUUUAGCUUUGCAGUUGAUCGGAGAAGGAGAGAGAGGUGAUUGACAACUUCUUUAUAGAGGAGAGGGUAUAAGUGGGCUGGAGUUGCGGCCUGGAGGGAUAUGAGAGAAUUUUUUGUUGGAAUUCUGCCUAGCUGGAGCUGCGGUUUAGGGUUGAAAGGAAACAAAGGAAAAAGGAGGAAGAAAUGGAGAGUAGGGAGAAGAAAGAAAGCGGCUGAGGUUUAGGGUUGAAA